UUUCCGUAGGUGAACCUGCGGAAGGAUCAUUCACAAUGAGUGUUUUAUGGCACUCUUUAAAAAUCCAUAUCCACCUCGUGUGCAAUGUUUGUUGGGAGAGAGGCAACUCUUUCCCUUCACAAAUAUCAACCUAUAUCUUUAACAACAUUCGCCUGAUAACAUAUUAUGAAUAUACUUAAUUCAAAAUAUAACUUUCAACAACGGAUCUCUUGGCUCUC
rnacentral:misc_RNA from 1 species